AGAGUUUGAUCCUGGCUCAGAACAAACGCUGGCGGUGUGCCUAACACAUGCAAGUCGAACGAGAAAGCCCACUUCGGUGGGUUAGUAAAGUGGCGACCGGGUGAGUAACGCGUGAGUAACGUAUCUUUAGGUUUAGAAUAACAUUUCGAAAGAGAUGCUAAUACUGAAUAUUAUAAUUGUUCCUAUAAGAGACAGUUAUGAAAGAUGGCCUCUACUUGUAAGCUAUUGCCAAGAGAGCGGCUCGCGUACCAUUAGCUUGUUGGUGGGGUAAUGGCCUACCAAGGCUAUGAUGGUUAGCCGGCCUGAGAGGGUGAACGGCCACACUGGAACUGAAACACGGUCCCGACUCCUACGGGAGGCAGCAGUGAGGAAUAUUGCGCAAUGGGGGAAACCCUGACGCAGCAACGCCGCGUGAGCGAUGAAGGCUCUUGGGUCGUAAAGCUCUGUCAGGUAGGACGAAAUGUAGAAAGGGAUAAUAUCCUUUUUAUUUGACGGUACUACCAGAGGAAGCCCCGGCUAACUCCGUGCCAGCAGCCGCGGUAAUACGGAGGGGGCAAGCGUUGUUCGGAUUUAUUGGGCGUAAAGGGCGUGUAGGUGGUUACGUAAGUUAGACGUGAAAUCUCUAGGCUUAACCAAGAGACUGCGUCUAAUACUGCAUAACUUGAGUGCAGGAUAGGAGAGCGGAAUUCCCAGUGUAGCGGUGAAAUGCGUAGAUAUUGGGAGGAACACCAGUGGCGAAGGCGGCUCUCUGGACUGACACUGACACUAAGGCGCGAAAGCUAGGGGAGCGAACGGGAUUAGAUACCCCGGUAGUCCUAGCCGUAAACGAUGGGUACUAGGUGUAGAAGGUAUCGACCCCUUCUGUGCCGUAGCUAACGCAUUAAGUACCCCGCCUGGGGAGUACGGUCGCAAGGCUGAAACUCAAGGAAUUGACGGGGGCCCGCACAAGCGGUGGAGCAUGUGGUUUAAUUCGACGCAACGCGAAGAACCUUACCGAGAUUUGACAUUUAGGCGAAAGCACUAGAAAUAGAGCUGUGCCUUCGGGAACGCUUAGACAGGUGCUGCAUGGCUGUCGUCAGCUCGUGUCGUGAGAUGUUGGGUUAAGUCCCGCAACGAGCGCAACCCUCACCCUUAUUUGCCAGCAGGUUAAGCUGGGCACUAUUGGGAAACUGCCGGUGAUAAACCGGAGGAAGGUGGGGAUGACGUCAAGUCCUCAUGGCCCUUAUGUCUCGGGCUACACACGUGCUACAAUGGCCAAUACAAAGGGUUGCCAAAUCGUGAGAUGGAGCUAAUCCCAGAAAGUUGGUCUCAGUUCGGAUUGAAGUCUGCAACUCGACUUCAUGAAGUUGGAAUCGCUAGUAAUCGCGGAUCAGCAUGCCGCGGUGAAUACGUUCCCGGGCCUUGUACACACCGCCCGUCACACCACGAAAGUUAGUUGUACCAGAAGUCAUUGAGCUAACCUUACACUAAGGAGGCAGGUGCCCAAGGUACGAUUAGUGAUUGGGGUGAAGUCGUAACAAGGUA
rnacentral:rRNA from 1 species